ACGUUGGUGUGGCUCAGUGGUUACUUCUGAUUUAUCGACAAAAUCACCUUCUCAUGGCCGCCGGGAAACCGGAGACCAGAGAUCGAACCUCGGGCACUGUCCAACGUUUUC
ensembl:vault_RNA Vault Vault RNA